CCCCUCAGCGCACUCCCUCCCGCCGCCGCCGCCGCCCCGGCCCUGCCCGCCUCCUUUAUACGGACGGAGGCGCCCGAGGUUGGGGGGCUGCCGGGCCCGCCUUUCCCUCCCCUGCGCCGUGGGGCGAAGGGGGUCCCGCGGCUGGGCUGAGGCUCAUCGGUUGAGGAGAAGGCGUUGCAUCUCCCAGUGACUUCCUAGGUCUCACAUAGACUGAGAAAGAAGAGGCUGAUGAAGAAGAGAACAUCAACGAAGGAGGAGAAUGGCCCACGGGACCUAGGUCCCAACCAGCCUUUUAGUGGAACAAAACCUUGGGCGAGAGGAUCUGCAGUUCUGUGUUGCCCCUUCUCUCUAGAGAAAUAAAAUCUGGCUGCAAACCUGAAAGGAUCGUUUCCCCCUGGUGAUACAGGGCCUGAAGAGCACAUUUUCCUUCCACUUUCAGGCUUUGUUCUGAAGAAAUACGAGCUGCUAGGUGAAGAUGAUAGUUGGACUGACUUCUCCACUGAGAUUUAUAAACCUCUCUUAUGAAGCAUUUAUAUGAAACACUUCAUAAUCCACCAAUCCUGCCAUUCACUAGAAUCGGAGAGAGGGAUUUUUCCUCUAGGUGAAGGCAGCCAAAGACAUUCCACGCAUCUGCCAUCGACACGUGUGUAUGUGCAAUCUCCACAAUGGAGAUUAGAGCAUUCUUACUUGUAUUAGACAAUCCUAAUUAAAAGAUACUUGGAAGGUGCUACAGAGCCAGGCAAUGCUAUGUGAAAAAAGAUUGAAUGUGGAAAUCCAGAAGAAAUUAU